GCCGGGCGCGGUGGCGCGCGCCUGUAGUCCCAGCUACUCGGGAGGCUGAGGCUGGAGGAUCGCUUGAGCUCAGGAGUUCUGGGGUGCAGUGCGCUAUGCCGAUCGGGUGUCCGCACUAAGUUCGGCAUCACUAUGGUGACCUCCCGGGAGCGGGGGACCACCAGGUUGCCUAAGGAGGGGUGAACCGGCCCAGGUCGGAAACGGAGCAGGUCAAAACUCCCGUGCUGAUCAGUAGUGGGAUCGCGCCUGUGAAUAGCCACUGUACUCCAGCCUGGGCAACAUAGCGAGACCCCGUCUCUU
rnacentral:SRP_RNA from 1 species